GAUGCCCAUUCGGAUAUGCGGCUUCGUUUUAUGGUAGACAAGAAAUUUAAAAACAAAUAAUGUCUCUGCCGAGGUGACAGGGUCGGAUGUCAAAUCGAAAAUAGAGAAAUGCACAAUGGCGGAUACAAAUACCGGAUGAGUUUCGGACCGGCGCG
ensembl:ncRNA F22E12.13 ncRNA